ACCUCUUUGCUUCUAAGUAUGUUGAAAGUAUGAAAUAGAAAUGUGUAGACGCAAAAGUGUGUUUGUAUACAUCGCACCCAGUCUACCAUUAUUUCCUGCUAGUCAGAUAACAGAGUUUUCAUAAAUGUCGAAUUUUAAAGGCACAGCCAGUGAUACCAAGAUUAGUAAGACCGCUAGGCGCCGCGGCGAAACAGAAAAGUAUGUCAGUUCCGCCAGAGCUACCGUUCAGAGUGAUUCAGAGUAACACCACUAGGUCGAAAAUUAGUUACACGAGGAAUAGGACUGAGUCUAGGAAAUAAUGGGAGAAAAACAGGGCGUACAGAAGGUGUACUUAACGACUGUUAGAGGACUGGCUGAUGCAGCGUUGCUGCCGCACUGGGGGCAGAGGUAUUCAUUCCAUCUAAAAACAGCAGCAAGCAUUUAUCGAACAAUCUCCGAAGUUUAGAUAAAGGGACUGGUAUAUAAACUUGAGUGAGGCUAGGUGUGGCUGGCAGAGGCAUUACUUAGUAAACCUAGAAAGCUUUUGAAAAAUACAAAGUCUCUUGUUAGUAAAACGAUGGAAUUUUCAACAACCAGUAAAAGAAAAUGUGUGAACAGUUGAUGUUUUACACUUACAGGUUAUUCCAAUAAAACUUAACGUAUCAGGUUCGUGUUUAUGAGAUAGACUUGAUGACUGAAUACUCCUUUAUGUACAAAUAAAUUUGCAAGGUUUCAAAAAGUCUUUCCAUGAGUAACUCUGGUUUCAAAGCUGCCAAAUAACUGGAAGGGAUGGAUAUCUAUUUCAGCUUUUCCAAGAUAGAUGUAUCACCAAUGCUUUCAUAGUACCUUUGUUCUCAGAAAACCUAAAGGGAAAGAUCAUUGCUAGAGACUUUAAGGUUACCUAAUGCAGCACACUUGUUAAAGGGAGCUUGACGUUAUUUGAGUCAAACAGUUAAAAUUCUGAACAUCAUCUCCAAGUACAGAUCAGUGCCAAAUAUGAUUAUUUGUUUAAAAAAAAAAGGUGAUUUAUAUUUUAUACAUACCACACUCACAGAACUAUAUGUACUUCUAUCAUUGCAGAGGAUGGGAGAAAGCAAACCAAACUAAUAUGUAUCACUGCUUCCUUUAAAAAAAGGCAUGGCAUCGACAGGGACUAAAAUACAAAAAUACAUACCAUAAGAUAGAAUCAGACUUCUAGUCUGACGGAAUACUAGAAUAGGUACCCUAACCUCCCACUAAAAAAUGCUAGACUAACAGCAGGCAAGAAUCCCAGGAGGACAAAGAACGGCUGAAAACUUUCCAGAAUUGUUGAAAGACACCAACCCCCUGCCCUGUCCAGGCAGCUCAAUGAAUUUCACAUAAUAUACAAGUAAAAUCCAACUGACUGAAAAAAAAAAUCUUCAAAGGAGAAACAAUUUAAUUACCAUGUAGUAGCAGAGAAAAUGGAAUGAUUUUUUUUUUCGUAAGCCUAAGGAAAAAAGUAUUAGAAAAUGAAGGUGGACUUCCAGCUUCAGCUCUGAGAGGUAAACAGCCUGGACACAGCCAUUCCCAUCCUGAACAAGAAGAAGGUGAAGUGAAAAUCAGUAACUUGGAUCUGUCCGAGAAUUGAGGUCACCAGGCACAUGAUCACAUCAAAAUCUUGAGAGUCAGGCAAACACAGAGAAACAUAGCCAUGAUCCCCUUAUUGCGGACCAAAGCAUCUAGAGCUGGGAACUGGUGGAACACUCACGGUUAUUAUGAUGAAUUGCUGGAGAGGGAGGACGAGCUUGAGAAAAACUAAGGGCAUUGUUUUCCCACACUUUCUUGGGGUUUACCUGCAGAAGGCACAUGAGGUUCUCACCAUGAAGAUCACAGAAAGAGCCCCCUGUUUUUGCCCUCCGAGGGAAACUGCUAUAAGACAGCUUUAUCUAAUCUGAAGGAAAGGGCAGAAAGAUCAAUGCAGCCCUCUCUCCCUUCCUGUCUCCUGUAAGGGAAGCAGGAGUAUGAGGUGGGAGAGGAGAUUCAGAAACUCUCCUGAAGGUCAUGCCAACACAGAUGUCAUCCUAAAAGGAUAGGAUACCCAACACCUAACCACACUGUCAGUAGGGCCCCAGGAUAGUAACUGGAUUACAGCUGCAGAACACAGCCCUUUGAGAAGGAGUACUCAGGAAAACCCAAAACAACAGGGGAAAAGCAAUAAAAACAGGAAAAUAGGUUUCAGUUUCUGUUAAACACCUCUAGGACUAACAUGAAAUAUAGCCCAGCUCUUAGCCAGAGUAACAUAAAAGCUCACACUAAAAGUGUUAUUACGUCCACUCUGACCUAACACUAUCCAGGUUUGAGGGGGGAAUAAAAAAGGUAUGCAAGCUAAAAGGCAACAAGAAACAGUCUGAAGAGACACACAAGCAUCGGACCCAGCUCAGCUAUGACACAGACGUUGUAAAUAUCAGAUAGGGAGUUUAACAAAUCCAUGAUUACUGUGUUAAGGGCUCUAAUGGAAAAAGUGAACAACAUGCAAGAACACAACGGGUAAUGUGAACAGAGAGGUGGAAACUCUAAGAAAGUGCUAGAGACUAGAAAUACUGUAAUGGAAAUGAAGAAUGCUCAUCAGUAGACCGGAUGUGGCAGAAUUGCAAAUUCAAAUGCAAAGAGAAGGAUAAAAACAACACGGGAUGGAGAAUUCAAGAGCUGGGAUGGGGGGAGGGCCAUUACACAACGUGUCACAUACAAGUAAUGGGGACGUAAGAAGUAAAAGAAAGGAAUGGAAGAAAUACAUGAAUAAUGGCUGAGAAU